rnacentral:rRNA from 1 species
UACGUAGGGGGCAAGCGUUGUCCGGAUUUAUUGGGCGUAAAGAGCGUGUAGGCGGCCAGAUAGGUCUGCUGUGAAAACUCGAGGCUCAACCUCGAGCUGUCGGCGGAAACCAUUUGGCUAGAGUCCGGAAGAGGAAAGUGGAAUUCCUGGUGUAGCGGUGAAAUGCGCAGAUAUCAGGAGGAACACCGGUGGCGAAGGCGGGUCUCUGGGCAGUAACUGACGUGAGGAGCGAAAGCGUGGGGAGCGAACAGG